UAAAUGGAAGCCAAAAAGAGGCACCUAACUGUUAAUUAGAAAACUGUUGAACCUUCAACCCAUUUAG
rnacentral:tRNA from 1 species